UUAGAAACUGGAAUAACGUAUCGAAGUUUAAAAUAUAUCUCAGCUGAUGAUAUUCGUGAUGCUAUCCCCAAUAUUGGUUUUAGGGCUGAAUUUAGAGUGAAAUUAUUCACUUGGAAAAAGAAAGAGUUUAAUUUUGACGACGAAACAUUGUCCGCUAAUUCAAAAGUUGUAUCUUGGAUUGAAAAAAGUUCUCCUUCGAACUCGUUUUCAGCUGGUUUAAUGAUUGGAAUGUAGUCGUUGAAAAAUGGUCACAAACAUUUGAUUUGCGUCGUAAGAACUUACAGAAUUGGGACACUACAGAAUUUCUAAAACAAUGGCCAAAAAAUGCAGAAAGCUAAGCUCCAGAUUUGGUGAGAGUUUUACUUAUAAAAAACAAGAAACAAAGAAGCUAAGUCUUAUAUGAACUCAAUAACCUGUAGAAUUAAUCCAGCACGAUCAUUGUCAAUCAAAUCUUCUCCAAAGUAUUCGAACUUCUUAAUGUUAAAUGAAAAUGGUAUACCUCCAAUAUGUGAUAAAUACGAUUUUAAAAGUGUUGCUGUAAGCACCAUCGAAUGUUUGAACACUGUAGAUCAUAAAAUUAAAAAUGACAAAAUUGAUAUAAGUGAGAAAAUUGAAUAUAAAGGGACUAUAUACAAGAAAGAUUAUUUUUUAGCAUGUAAAAUG